rnacentral:rRNA from 1 species
AUUGAACGCUGGCGGCAGGACUAACACAUGCAAGUCGAACGAGUGGCGGACGGGUGAGUAAUGUCUGGGAAACUGCCUGAUGGAGGGGGAUAACUACUGGAAACGGUAGCUAAUACCGCAUACCAUCGGAUGUGCCCAGAUGGGAUUAGCUAGUAGGUGGGGUAAAGGCUCACCUAGGCGACGAUCCCUAGCUGGACUGAGAGGAUGACCAUCCACACGGGGACUGAGACACGAUCCAGACUCCUACGUGAGGCAGCAGUGGGGAAUAUUGCACAAUGGGCACAAGCCUGAUGCAGCCAUGCCGCGUGUAUGAAGAAGGCCUUCGGGUUGUAAAGUACUUUCAGCGGGGAGGCGUUACCCGCAGAAGAAGCACCGGCUAAAUCCGUGCCAGCAGCCGCGGUAAUAC